AUUGAACGCUGGCGGCAGGCUUAACACAUGCAAGUCGAGCGGAGAUGAGGUGCUUGCACCUUAUCUUAGCGGCGGACGGGCGAGUAAUGCUUAGGAAUCUGCCUAUUAGUGGGGGACAACAUUCCGAAAGGAAUGCUAAUACCGCAUACGCCCUACGGGGGAAAGCAGGGGAUCUUCGGACCUUGCGCUAAUAGAUGAGCCUAAGUCGGAGUAGCUAGUUGGUGGGGUAAAGGCCUACCAAGGCGACGAUCUGUAGCGGGUCUGAGAGGAUGAUCCGCCACACUGGGACUGAGACACGGCCCAGACUCCUACGGGAGGCAGCAGUGGGGAAUAUUGGACGAUGGGCGGAAGCCUGAUCCAGCCAUGCCGCGUGUGUGAAGAAGGCCUUUUGGUUGUAAAGCACUUUAAGCGAGGAGGAGGCUACCUGGAUUAAUACUCUAGGAUAGUGGACGUUACUCGCAGAAUAAGCACCGGCUAACUCUGUGCCAGCCGCCGCCGUAAAAC
rnacentral:rRNA from 1 species